AUCACGAACACUUGAUCUUCGCGUCAAGGGUCUUCUCGACUUAGCCUUGAUCACGAACACUUGAUCUUUGCUUCAAGGGUCUUCACGACUUAAUCUUGAUCACAAACACUUGAUCUUCGCUUCAAGGGUCUUCACGACUUAAUGUUGAUCACGAACACUUGAUCUUCGCUUCAAGGGUCUUCACGACUUAAUGUUGAUCACGAACACAAUAUCUUGAUCACGAACUUCGCUUGAUAUCUUGAUCACGAACUUCGUUGCCACUUGAUCACGAACUUCGUU
rnacentral:lncRNA from 1 species